rnacentral:rRNA from 1 species
CCUACGGGUGGCAGCAGUGGGGAAUAUUGGGCAAUGGGCGCAAGCCUGACCCAGCAACGCCGCGUGAAGGAAGAAGGCUUUCGGGUUGUAAACUUCUUUUCUCAGGGACGAAGCAAGUGACGGUACCUGAGGAAUAAGCCACGGCUAACUACGUGCCAGCAGCCGCGGUAAUACGUAGGUGGCAAGCGUUAUCCGGAUUUACUGGGUGUAAAGGGCGUGUAGGCGGGAAAGCAAGUCAGAUGUGAAAACCAUGGGCUCAACCUGUGGCCUGCAUUUGAAACUGUUUUUCUUGAGUACUGGAGAGGCAGACGGAAUUCCUAGUGUAGCGGUGAAAUGCGUAGAGAUUAGGAGGAACACCAGUGGCGAAGGCGGUCUGCUGGACAGCAACUGACGCUGAGGUGCGAAAGCGUGGGGAGCAAACAGGAUUAGAUACCCCUGUAGUC